rnacentral:lncRNA from 1 species
AAAGCAGAAAAAAGAAGAAGAAAAGAAAAUAAAGAAAAAAGGUUGGAAUAAAUUUGUAAGAUGACCAAUAUAAAAAAUAUAAAAAUAAUAGUUUAAAUUUUUAGAGAUAAAUAAUUAUUUUAUAUAAUUUAACAUAGUGUAAGAGUAAGAGAUUUUGAGUUUGAGUCUUAUCAGAUUUAUUAUAUUAUUAAAUUUUUUUAUUUAAUUAAGUCGACAUUUUGAGGUUUUUCUGAGUUCACACAUGAAAGUGAGUGUUAAAAUAAAAAUAAGUUUCGAGUUUAGGCGUGAGAAAAGUGUUGAUUGUAAAAAUAUAAAAACAUCAUUUUUUAAUAACUUAAGCAUUUGGAGAUAAUAGAUUAUUUCAUAUAAUUAAUGAAAUAGUAGGUUUAUUAAUUUAGUUUGACUAGUGAGUCAACAAGAUUUUAUUUAAUUAGACAGCGCGAUAAGCCCUAUGAUGAAUUGUACGUCUAAAUCUUAAAAUUUCAUUCCAAUACGAAAGCUUAUAUUUGAAUCUUAAAUUCGUACUGAAGGCCAAAUUAGAGAACUUUUAACACGGAAGAAUUAAUGAGGUGUGCCUUACGUUUUCCUUCCUCAUUAAUUGGGUAUUAAUAAUACUUAAAAAAAAUUAAAAAGAAUGUGGGGCAUAUUCCAUGCAUGUGACGUGACAAUUAAGCAUCUAAAAUCAAAGAUGACAAUUUUAUAACACCUAAUACUUAAUUAUAACAUCCGAGAUCUCGGUGUUUGCAGGGUGUGUUAUAUUAAUUAGUCAAAUGCAGAAGACAAAAAAAUCGUAUAUCCAUGCUUGAAUUGCGAUAAGCUUGCAUAACAAUUGCAUUAAACUUGUUAGUUAGAACAUUAAUGUCUCGUGUAGUUAAAAAAACUUAAGCUUAUCGUUUGUGUAAAAUGAAGGAAAUAGCAAAAAUAAUAAUUUUAUCAUAUCAAAGACUCACACUGCCCAUCGAGAACGAUCCUCACUCAUACAACACAAUCAAUUUUCUUGUCUUUUUUUUUUUUUUUUUUUUUUUUUUUUUUUUU